UGUAGUCAUAUGCUUGUCUCAAAGAUUAAGCCAUGCAUUGUCUCAGUACUUGCUUUAACAAGGCGAAACCGCGAAUGGCUCAUUAAAUCAGUUAUGGUUCACUAGAUCGUAUAUUUUACAUGGAUAACUGUGGUAAUUCUAGAGCUAAUACAUGCAACCAGCUUGCUGCCUCGUGCAGCAAGCGCAGUUAUUAGAACAAAACCAAUCCGGCCUUGGUCGGUUUACUGGUGACUCUGAAUAACCGAAGCGGAGCGCUAAGGUCUCGUACCGGCGCCAGAUCUUUCAAGUGUCUGACUUAUCAGCUUGUAGCGAGGUUAUGUUCCUCGCUUGGCGCUCACGGGUGACGGGGGAUCAGGGUUCGAUCCCGGAGAGGGAGCCUGAGAAACGGCUACCACAUCCAAGGAAGGCAGCAGGCGCGCAAAUUACCCACUCCCGGCACGGGGAGGUAGUGACGAAAAAUAACGAUGCGAGAGCGUUUAUGCUUUUCGUAUCGGAAUGGGUACACUUUAAAUCCUUUAACGAGGAUCUAUUGGAGGGCAAGUCUGGUAAUCG
rnacentral:rRNA from 1 species